rnacentral:misc_RNA from 1 species
UUAAGUUCAGCGGGUAUCCCUACCUGAUCCGAGGUCAACCGUGAUAGAAUUGGGGUGAUCUGGCAGGUCACAUCUCGCGUGCUCCAGAGCGCGAGUAGUUUACGACGCUCGAGUCCGCGAGGGACCGCCACUGGUUUCCGGGCUCGCCCGGGCAGGCGAGGGCCCAAUACCAAGCGAUGCUUGAGGGUUGAAAUGACGCU